AAUGAACGCUGACGGCGCGCCUAAUACAUGCAAUUCGAGCGAGAAGACGUAGCAAUACGUUUGUAAAGCGGCGAACGGGUGAGGAAUACAUGGGUAACCUACCCUCGAGUGGGGAAUAACUAGCCGAAAGGUUAGCUAAUACCGCGUACGCUUCUUGGACUUCGGUUCAGGGAGGAAAGCGAUACCGUGGGUAUCGCGCUCUUGGAUGGGCUCAUGUCCUAUCAGCUUGUUGGUGAGGUAACGGCUCACCAAGGCUUCGACGGGUAGCUGGUCUGAGAGGACGAUCAGCCACACUGGCACUGCGACACGGGCCAGACUCCUACGGGAGGCAGCAGUAAGGAAAUAUUGCGC
rnacentral:rRNA from 1 species